rnacentral:rRNA from 1 species
AGCGAACGCUGGCGGCAGGCUUAACACAUGCAAGUCGAGCGGGCCCUUCGGGGUCAGCGGCAGACGGGUGAGUAACACGUGGGAACGUGCCCUUCGGUUCGGAAUAACUCAGGGAAACUUGAGCUAAUACCGGAUACGCCCUUUUGGGGAAAGGUUUACUGCCGAAGGAUCGGCCCGCGUCUGAUUAGCUAGUUGGUGGGGUAACGGCCUACCAAGGCGACGAUCAGUAGCUGGUCUGAGAGGAUGAUCAGCCACACUGGGACUGAGACACGGCCCAGACUCCUACGGGAGGCAGCAGUGGGGAAUAUUGGACAAUGGGCGCAAGCCUGAUCCAGCCAUGCCGCGUGAGUGAUGAAGGCCUUAGGGUUGUAAAGCUCUUUUGUCCGGGACGAUAAUGACGGUACCGGAAGAAUAAGCCCCGGCUAACUUCGUGCCAGCCGCCGCCGUAAAAC